CAUGCCAAAUAGUUCCUCUUGUUUCCCACGUGAUGUGGCUUUCAGGCUUAUUUAGGUCCAUGUAGUUGAAUACAAAUUUUAAUUAAAUAAUUGUGUAAUAGAACCCAGCACAAAAAUAUUGCGCCAAACGUUUCUUCUGUAGUGAUCUUGUAAUGGUUUUACUUCGUCGAAAAUAGAAAUAUCGGAGGACAUUUGCAUUAGUUUACUCUACAAAAUUAACACGUUAACGAAGAAAAAUGCAAAUUAUUAUGUUGCAUUGACAAAUCUGUUUGUGACUUACUACCGCAGUUAGUGUGCACAGUCAUUAAUGAGAAAUGUUACAGGUUACGGCAUCAGGAAAUGCUAAUCUAAAAUUCCCACGCUGCAAGAACAGCAGGGGCGUAUGCGUGAUAAAAAAAAGAUUACAGAGCUGCUCACUGAUAUUUGUCUGUUGCUUGUGCCAUAUAGCUACUGCUGUGUCAUCCAAACAAGUAACAGCCAUGGAAAUAGCACCACAGGCACAAAGAUGCGAGCGGGUGCCAGUGCCAUAGAGACUCACCACUUGUGUGAGUUCUGCCAUUGCCACAGGCGGCGCUGAGGAUGAAGACAGGCGGCGCUGAGGAUGAAGACAGGCGGCGCUGAGGAUGAAGAUUUCGACUUUGCCUUGGCCAAUUACUGGCAGAGUACAAUUUGCCAAUGACCAUAUGACAACGGGCAGAAGCCUACUUGGAAGAUAGAAGAAGCACAGCUUUGGCCCACUCGGUUAUAGACCAUCGUCCGGGGCUGACUUAGACAGGGAAUGUCAUUUGUUGUAAAUUGCAUUUCCUAUGUACUGCAAAGUUUAUCUACAAUUAUUUGCACUUAGCCAUUGAGGGUCAUUUUGUGUUGUAUUGCAGGCAGUGUUGCAGACUUAAUUAUUCAACAAGCCUCAAAGAUAAAUAAAGUUUUUAACUCGUU